CUACGUGCCAGCAGCCGCGGUAAUACGGAAGGUCCAGGCGUUAUCCGGAUUUAUUGGGUUUAAAGGGAGCGUAGGCCGCAGGUUAAGUGUGUUGUGAAAAGCAGUCGCCCAACGUCUGCCUUGCAGCGCAAACUGUCCUGCUUGAGUGCGCACAACGCAGGCGGAAUUCGUCGUGUAGCGGUGAAAUGCUUAGAUAUGACGAAGAACUCCGAUUGCGAAGGCAGCUUGCGGGAGCGCAACUGACGCUGAAGCUCGAAAGUGCGGGUAUCGAACAGGAUUAGAUACCCUGGUAGUCCGCACAGUAAACGAUGGAUGCCCGUUGUUAGUUCACUUAUGAAUUAGCGACCAAGCGAAAGCAUUAAGCAUCCCACCUGGGGAGUACGCCGGCAACGGUGAAACUCAAAGGAAUUGACGGGGGCCCGCACAAGCGGAGGAACAUGUGGUUUAAUUCGAUGAUACGCGAGGAACCUUACCCGGGCUUGAA
rnacentral:rRNA from 1 species